rnacentral:snRNA from 1 species
UAAGACCAAGAAGAAAAAGAAA